AAUGAACGCUGGCGGCGCGCCUAAUACAUGCAAGUCGAGCGAGAAGACGUAGCAAUACGUUUGUAAAGCGGCGAACGGGUGAGGAAUACAUGGGUAACCUACCCUCGAGUGGGGAAUAACUAGCCGAAAGGUUAGCUAAUACCGCGUACGCUCCUUGGACUUCGGUUCAGGGAGGAAAGCGAUACCGUGGGUAUCGCGCUCUUGGUUGGGCGUCAUGUCCUAUCAGCUUGCUGGUGAGGUAACGGCUCACCAAGGCUUCGACGGGUAGCUGGUCUGAGAGGACGAUCAGCCACACUGGCACUGCGACACGGGCCAGACUCCUACGGGAGGCAGCAGUAAGGAAUAUUGCGCAAUGGGCGAAAGCCUGACGCAGCGACGCCGCGUGGGGGAGUGAAGGUCUUC
rnacentral:rRNA from 1 species